AUUGAACGCUGGCGGCAUGCCUUACACAUGCAAGUCGAACGGUAACAGGCCUCGGAUGCUGACGAGUGGCGAACGGGUGAGUAAUACAUCGGAACGUGCCUAGUAGUGGGGGAUAACUACUCGAAAGAGUGGCUAAUACCGCAUGAGAUCUACGGAUGAAAGCAGGGGAUCGAAAGACCUUGUGCUACUAGAGCGGCCGAUGGCAGAUUAGGUAGUUGGUGGGAUAAAAGCUUACCAAGCCGACGAUCUGUAGCUGGUCUGAGAGGACGAUCAGCCACACUGGGACUGAGACACGGCCCAGACUCCUACGGGAGGCAGCAGUGGGGAAUUUUGGACAAUGGGCGCAAGCCUGAUCCAGCAAUGCCGCGUGCAGGAUGAAGGCCUUCGGGUUGUAAACUGCUUUUGUACGGAACGAAAAGCCCUGGGUUAAUACCCUGGGGUCAUGACGGUACCGUAAGAAUAAGCACCGGCUAACUACGUGCCAGCAGCCGCCGUAACAC
rnacentral:rRNA from 1 species